AGUUAUUGUAAAGACAUCGAGUGAGCACAUCAUACAUCAUUUUGUGUUAGGGCAAUAAAAUUUCAUUUUAGAGAUAUUGUUUUCGAUACAAGCCAUAGUUCGGUUAUUAUGUCGGUUGGCGAUCUUUGUGAAGCAUUUUUAUCGUCCACAACAUCUGGAAAUUGGAACAAUUGGAAACAGUCUUUGCACAAUAUUGGAGUGGAACUGGAAACACAGAACCAUCCCAAUUUUAAAUUACUUCAAGAUGCUGCCUGCGAUUUAAUGAUGUACAAUAAGCCUGGCUAUUGGAAUUGGUUGAAUGCAACAAUGAAGAAACUUAUUGCAGAUUCAACAUCUUUAUUCGAUCCUCUCCCCGUCUUGCCGGACUAUGAUGAACUGAGCAGCGAGCAGUUAGUGCGGCAAUACGAAGAAAAUGACGGAAACUAUUCGAAGCAAGACAUUUUACAUGAACUGAAAGAACGAUAUCCGACGUUGAUUCAAUGUGAUUUUUGGCCGGAUUUUGAUAAAAUGAAAUUGAACUUGAGAGAGAUAUUGAAAAGUGUCUUGUGAUGUCAAUAAAUUUGAUCAUUUUCUCGCAAUGA